GAGUUUGAUCUUGGCUCAGGAUGAACGCUGUCGGCGUGCCUAAUACAUGCAAGUCGAGCGAACAGACGAGGAGCUUGCUCCUCUGACGUUAGCGGCGGACGGGUGAGUAACACGUGGAUAACCUACCUAUAAGACUGGGAUAACUUCGGGAAACCGGAGCUAAUACCGGAUAAUAUAUUGAACCGCAUGGUUCAAUAGUGAAAGACGGUUUUGCUGUCACUUAUAGAUGGAUCCGCG
rnacentral:rRNA from 1 species